GUUCUUGUGAAUUCUUGUGAGUUCUUGUGAAUUCUUGUGAAUUCUUGCGAAUUCUUGUGUUUCCAGGACGUCUACAGCACGUGCACUAAAAAUUGUCCGGAUCAUCAAUAAUUCUUGUGAAUUCUCGCUUCUCACAUUGCUUCACAUUGCAAUUACAAAUGUCCCGCUUGCGUAUUUUUUAGGGGCGGUGGCCUGCUUUUCAUGCUAUUUAAAAAAAGAUGUGAAUCUGUGGUGCGGCAUAUCAAAGAAGGGAUGCGGGAUUUAAUUUCGAUAUCAUAAAGGCUAGAGGGCUCCUGGAGCAUAAACUAAAAGAAAAGAAUAUGAGGGCGACAGGACAGGGCGAGGAAAAAGUUGGCUGGGAAGUAAUUGCUUCCCCGCUAGCUCGCGUAUACAGGGAUAGGUGAAGGGGUUUCCGUGAUCCGUAAUCGGACACAAAUUUGCGUCG